rnacentral:rRNA from 1 species
AAUGAACGUUGGCGGCGUGGAUUAGGCAUGCAAGUCGAGCGAGAACCCCGCAAGGGGGGACAGCGGCGCAAGGGACAGUAAUGUGUAGAUUAUCUGCCCUCAGGUCCGGGAUAGCUGCGGGAAACUGCAGGUAAUACCGGAUAACAUCUCCGGAUCAAAGGUGUGAUUCCGCCUGAGGAUGAGUCUGCAUCCUAUUAGCUAGUUGGUGGGGUAAUGGCCUACCAAGGCAUUGAUGGGUAGCAGGUGUGAGAGCACGACCUGCGUCAUUGGGACUGAGACACUGCCCAGACACCUACGGGUGGCUGCAGUCGAGAAUCUUCGGCAAUGGGCGCAAGCCUGACCGAGCGACGCCGCGUGUGGGAUGAAGGCCUUCGGGUUGUAAACCACUGUCAGAGGGGAUGAAAUGCAGGUGGGUUCUCCCAUCUGUUUGACAUAGCCGCAGAGGAAGGACGGGCUAAGUUCGUG